rnacentral:rRNA from 1 species
UGGGCAACCUGCCCCUAGCUCUGGGAUAACUGCGGGAAACUGUAGCUAAUACCGGAUGUGACACGAGACUGCAUGGUCUUCGUGUGGAAAGAUUUAUCGGCUAGGGAUGGGCCCGCGGUCUAUCAGCUUGUUGGUGGGGUAAUGGCUCACCAAGGCGACGACGGAUAACCGGCCUGAGAGGGCGACCGGUCACACUGGGACUGAGACACGGCCCAGACUCCGUACGGGGGCAG